AGCAGGAACAGUCGGCCAGCUGCGUGCCCAAGCGGCAUAGACGCACCUCCACCUUAGACCCUUUUCCUGGGGUGCAGCGGGGGCGGGGGGCUAGGAUCGCUCCCUCUGCUUGCCGAGUCACCGCCAGGGAACUCAGCUGCUGCUGCCCGGAAGAUCUUAACAAGGGGACGGACCAGGGAGGUUCCAGGCAGAAUUCUUCAAUCAGCAGGCCCUCAAAACUGCAGGCACAUGGCACUGCGCGAUUAUCAGCGGGAAGUCAUUCAGCCUGCCUUAGAGGGCAAGAAUAUCAUCAUAUGGCUGCCAACAGGUGCAGGAAAGACCCGUGCAGCUGCCUACGUCUGUGAGAGGCACUUGGAGAGCCGAAAGAACGGCAAAGUAGCAGUGUUAGUCAACACGGUGCCUCUGGUAGAUCAGCAUUUGAAGAACGAUUUCAGCAUCUUGAAGAAUCGCUUCGAAAUUGCUGCCAUCAGUGGGGACAGCAUCCUGAAGCUGCUGUUCUCAGAAGUGGUGAAGACGAAUGACCUGAUCAUCUGCACGGCCAAGAUCCUGGAAAACGCUCUCAACAGCCAAGAAGUGGAGAAGCAUGUGGAACUGACAGAUUUCUCCUUGCUGGUGAUUGAUGAGUGCCAUCACACCCACAAAGAAACCACCUACAACAAGAUUAUGGAGGAUUACCUGGAGCGCAAGUUGCAAGGCCAGCGGAACUUGCCACAGAUCCUGGGGCUCACAGCCUCUCUGGGAACUGGAGGAGCCAACACUCUGGAGGCAGCCAAGGAGCACAUCCUGCAGAUCUGUGCUAACCUAGAUACUGAAAAAAUCAUGUCGUCUGACAAGCGCAAGAUCUACCUUGCUACUCAUGUCUCACAACCCAAGAAGCAGUACGAUCUGUCUGAACAAAGGCCUCAGGAUCCCUUUGGACAAAAGCUCAAGGAGAUAAUGACUCAGAUCUACAAUUACCUGGGUGUCCCUGACUUGAGUACUAAUUUUGGAACUCAGCUCUUUGAACAACAAGUUGUGUCACUUGAGAAGAAAGGAGCAGAAAAAUUUUGCCAAAAGACCCGCACCUGCGCUGUGCACCUCCGUAAAUACAACGACGCCCUGCUGAUCAAUGACACUGUGCGCAUGAUUGAUGCCUUCAAAAUCCUGGAUGACUUUUACCUGCUAGAAUGUGCUACCAGAGUGCUGCAACAUUCGGUAGAUCGUUACCUGGUCCAGCUCUUUGACAGGAACAAAGCAUGCCUGCAGGCCCUGGCGCAAGACAGCCGCUAUGAGAACCCCAAACUCGCUAAGCUGCAGCAAGUCCUGCAGGAGCAGUUCCAAGAACUGGAGAGCUCGCGGGGCAUUGUGUUCACCCGCACACGCCAGAGUGCUCAUUCAUUGCACCAGUGGAUCCAAGACAACCAGGCCUUACUUGGACUUGGGAUCAAGGCUGCGGUCCUGACUGGGGCUGGCUACAGCAGUCAGACGAAGCACAUGACGCAGCCAGAGCAGCAGCAGGUCAUCCAUCAUUUCCGUAAAGGGACACUCAAUUUGCUCUUCUCCACCAGUGUGGCUGAGGAGGGACUGGACAUUCCCGAGUGUAAUAUUGUAGUCCGCUAUGGGCUACUGACAAACGAGAUUGCCAUGAUGCAGGCCAGGGGCCGAGCCCGUGCCCAAAACAGUAUCUACUCUGUGUUGGGCAAGAUGAACAGCAAGGAGGUGGCCCAUGAGAUGCGCAAUGAGAUCUUAGAGGACCUGAUGGAGAUUGCUAUCAAGUGUAUACAGCAGAUGCCUGAGCAGGAAUAUCGCCUGAAGAUUGCAGAGCUUCAGCAUAAAGCCGCCCACAGUCGCAGGGUGCGGGAUGCCAAAAAAAACCUGCAGCACCAGCUGCACGACCCAGGAGAUGUGCACCUCUACUGCAUCGGGUGCAACGGAGAAGUCUGCCGUGGCACUGACCUGCGCAAAAUAGAGAAAAUGCAUCACAUCAGCAUUAACCCCAAGUUCAGGCAGUACUACAGAGCACUUGAACAAGUGUUCAUUCCCCGUGAGUUCAACGACUGGAGGCCAGGCAGGUCCAUCAGCUGCAAUAAAUGUGGGCAGGCUUGGGGAAUGGAAAUGAUCUACCGGGAAAUCACACUUCCCAUGCUUGCCAUCAAAAACUUCGUAGUAGAAACCCCAGAUGGCAGAAGGACCUUUAAGAAGUGGAGCAAAGUAACUUUUGACAUCAGUGAGUUUGACUAUAUUGACUACUGUAACACCAACCUAGACAUUGUAGAGUCAAUGAGUUAGCGUAAAGAGUAUACCCCCUUGGAUAUGCUUGCUCAAAAUAUGAAUGGGUGGGCCUGACUACUGGAGAAUCGUGACCCAGUGGAUCGUGAGUUGGAGAUUUCUUGGAGAGUACUCCCUCCACCUGUAGCAUGGACUGGUGACUGGCCUUGAGCAAACCAGAGGGACUCACAGCCUCAACCUCCAUCUUCUGAAGAAAGAAGAUAGAUAGCUGAAAGACUGUGAAACCCUUGGGAAAUAGAAGCUAUGCAAGUGCCAUUUCUAAGCAGUGACAUCCAAGUAAAAGCAGCAACCCAUUCAAAAAAGGUGAAGACAAGAACUCCCAAGAAAGCCAGUAUAAUACAAGCAGCUGUGUUAUCUUGGGCUCACAUCCGAACCUGGCCAUGAAGCUCCCUCGUAGCUGUCAGACAGUCCCUAUGCCCGAAUACUCACUGAGAUGAUAAACCUCCAAGGCAGAUCCUUGAGCACGUUGGACACUCCUCCUGAAAAGGCAUCUGCCCAUACUGUCCUUAUACUUUAUGGAAUUCACUGACUGGAGUCAUAAGAUUGUAAAGGGUUUCCUACUUUUCAUUUUUUUCAUAUUGAUUAUAUACUAUGGGAGAGAUGUUUGAAUAGGCAAUUUGGCAUAUCAAGGGGAAUGUUUUACCAGACUGAGGCACAGUCAUUUCAGAAAUCAUGUUUUAAAAUAGAUUUCAGAUUGCAUGCUUGCACCUUAAGGAAUUCAAGGCAUGCAAAGAAAAUCCAUACCUGUAGGUUUUCUUGAUUCCAAGCUGGAGUCAUUCUUAUUCAACAUCUCUUUGGGGGAAAAUCAGUUGUUAAAGUAGUAAUACAAAUAUUAAAUAGUAAUGGAACUAAUAAAUAUCCUUGGCAGAUGCCUCGCAGUUUGAAUCAAAUAUGAGAAUGAGCCCAACUGACACACCAUUUCUAGCUGGGCUGUUGCCUAUUCCUUUUGCACGUGGGGUUCAUCCCAAACGCCUCAAAAAGCACACUUUAAGUCCAGGAAUAAAUCGGCCCCUCCAGUUCAGCAAGCUUUCCCUAACAGCAGAUUUCACACAUUCUGAAGUCUUAGGUUACACAUCUUGCAAGUGAUGGUGAGGACAUGGAGACAUCUCAGGCAAAGUCCACAUAUCCAGAGCACAACUAAAUGCUUAGAUCAGCCUUCCCCAACCUUGUGCCCUACAGGCACAUUUGGAUUGCAACACCCAGUAUUCUUGCUGGCUGGGAAUUCUGGGAGUUGCCUUUCACAUGCCUCUGAAGGCCACCAGGUUACUAGUAGAUAAUUGAGAUCAGAGAUGUCAGUGGUUUAAACCUGUUCGAUAUUAAACAAACCCUUUCAAAUAAACUCAGAUAAAACAGCCGAAAAGAGCAAUAGUGAAAGCUGCAACUACCUUGCCCAUCUGAUAUGCAGAGGUUGAAAUGUAUGUACUUGGAAGAUUCUUAGUUUUGUAAUUUUCCUAUUUUUGCUUUCUGCACCAUUAAUAAAAUUUUAUUGCAACCUCCAGUAUCCUAUAAUCACUACUGCCAUUUCUUCCACCGAAAUAUUUUAAUGAUGUCUUCUAGGGAAACAAAUGGAUUACCUGCAUUUCACUCUUAAUUUGUCGCCCACACUAAUGUGAUAAAAUCUUAAGCAUAGUAUGGGCAGGGAUAAAAAUAAAGAUAAAGCCACAUAAUUACUGAUUUAAGUAUGCUUUUAUUUUACAGGAUACAAAUUUUUAAAGGUUUCACAAGAAUUAAAGUGCGUAAUUUUACAAUAUUCCAGUUCCCACCUUUAUGGACUAAAUAUACAUAUGUUACAGAAAUAUAUACACAUAUCUGCAAAUAUUUUACAUUUGUGUACAUAGUAUUAAAUGGAAAAGCUAACCACUUUCACAAUCUUUAACGAUGUCUUUUUUACAUUUUGCCAACUAUUUGUGGUAAAGCAAAAAAAGUAUAAGUUUAAAAAUGUUACAUUGUUGCAACUCAAAAAUCCUCAUUCAGUUGCUAAAUGAAAGCACUGAAUGCAUAUUCCCAAAUACUACAUGUGGUUCUGCUACCAUGAACUAGGUCAGGAACAGGCAGCUUCUGGCCCUACAAUCGGCUCUAGGCAGUUUAGCAAAUGGUGAAGGAUGAAGGGAAAUAUCUAUGUCAAACCAUCUGGAGGGCUGCAAGUUGCCCAUAACUGAACUAGGCCUUACCCUGUUUCUACUCAAUUAUCAUUGGAAACGUGCCUUAUCUUGCAAUUUGGAAUUUAAGUAAUACAGCCUGACUUGGCUCCCAGUUUAGAGUAGACACAUCAGUCACAAGUACAACUGAUUUCAAUGGAUCUUAAGGAUCAGGAUCUAACCUCUUGUUUGCUCCUUUUCUUCAAUAUCCUGUCUUAUGUCUGUUACCACCUGAACUUCUUAAAAUUAAAAGCGGGUGAGGACUUUUAUGUAGAACACUGCAUGGUAUUUUGCAUCUGUUCCAGCAGUGUAUAGGUAGAUAUAGUUUUUCCCCUUUUCCUACACAGCAUUAUAGUUAUGUUCUCUCAUAUACUAUUUGAUGAGAAAAUCCAUCCUUUUCCUUAAUUGUUUUACCACAAAUAUUUUAUACAUCUGCAAGGAUUAACUCUGCACCAGAUCAAAUUGGUAAUACAUAUUUGACAAUUUCAAAACCCAUUUAAUUAAACAAUGCACUAGGUAAAAAGUCAAAUUUAUACAGAUGUUAAGAAGUGCUGGGAGAGCAGAACAAAUUGAGCAGAUCCUGCAAACUAGCUACAAGAGGAGCAUUUAAAAUUUAAAAAUUUAUGAAUAUACACACUGUUCACCUGUCACUUAGUAUUUUACACUAAUAAAAGUACACUGUAAUCCAUUUAAAAUCUAACAAAACCAAGCCAUCCCAGAAAUAAGUUGCACAAAUUAUAAAUGUUGAUGUUUUUGUUUUUCACGAUGAACUGGACAAAGUAGUUAUAGGUAGUGAGAAUUUCUACCAAGAACUGCUUUGUAUAAGCUAAGACCUUACAGUUUGCUUGGCCAAAUUGUUCUACCAUCAAAUAAGAAAUAAAUCCAACACAUUUCUUCUGCCCAUAGUUUCUCUUGAAUUACAGUGCUUAGAACCAAAGAAGGGAAAAAACUAAUAACUAGAAAAAAUACUUCGCAUAAUUUGUGCUUCAAUCACUGAUGAUCUCCUUUCCUUCUUAAUUUUGCUAAGGUUGCUUAUAGAAAUGAAAGCAAGAGACUCAUCACCAUGAUCCACAUCAAGGGCAAAUUGUACAGACAGUUUAAGUUCUUCAACUUGUAAACAUUGCUUUAGAACUGUAGCUAAGAUUGGUUACACUAGACUGGAUCCAGAUUUCUUGUGUUACAUAAUCAUGCACAUACUUCUAUUGCAAGGAGAAAUGACUCACAGCAUGCCCUAAAAUUAACAUUAUUUUUCUACAGGACUGGUAAAACCCAGUUUCUGGCAGAUGCAUGGACGUAUUGUAAACCCUAACUGUGAUUUGUUCAUUCAUAUUGAUACAUUGCCCUUACCUAGAGCUUGAACAAGAUCUUCAUGUGGGCCACACUAUAAACAUGAAGCUACAGUAUGUGUAAGCUUCUCUCCAUCCAGUGCAAAGAAGAAGACAGCUCUGUGUACACAUCCCAUUGCACAUGUGGUGCCCAUUGUGACGGCUGGAUUGUGCAAAGCCUAUCAUAAAAAUCUGGACUUACUGGGUUUUCCUCGGUUCACAGUAUUUCUUACUUGGCAGCAAUUCCAUCACUAAUUCUGUUGUUAGUCUUCUCUUUGAUCCAUGCUACAAGCACAUCUCCACAUUUUUGCCAUUUUAUUUAAGUGCUAUUCAAGACUAAGUUCAUUCAUUGCUUCUGAAAACCUGAAGCAAACACCAUAAUGAAAAUACUUUGUUAAAUGCUGUAAAACAUUUAUGGGAAGUAGUGAGGAGGAGGAGGACGGGUCAUGAAUUUAAAGGCAUCAACUAAUCAUUGUGUGCAGGUGGCUUUUCCUGGAAACCAGAAACAUUAAUCUCCUCCAAGCCUGAUCUGGUAUCUGACAAGAAUAUGAGGAUUGUGCUUCAAAAUAGUGGCUUCUCAUUUUAUGGAUGUUUGUACACAUCCCUAGACUUAUUAUGAGUGCUCUACUCUGCAAUCAGUUGGCGUGUGGGUUUCAGUUCCUGCAGUUGAUAGAAACCCUUGUCAGUCCCUUAAUUGCAGUUCAUAUCAAUACAAAGUGCUUAACAAGUAGGAGGGGAAAUGAGGGGCUGCAUUCACAAGACUGGUUCUCCCUGGUGUUAGCCAUGCUUUAUAGCAAGUUAGCUUUCCACAUAUACCAGCCACAUAUGAUCACAAUGACUGUUCAGCUCAAAUAUCAAAAAUAGCAGUAAACAUUAAUCCAAGUAAAAUUCACAUGACGAGCACAAACUCAAAUUUAUACAACUAUCCAAAUUCUUUUCACAGAAACUGAAUGAUCUUUUAACAAAUAAGACAUUUUAAGCAUCCUACUUAAGCUUUUAUUGUUUCUAGAAGUACAUACGCAGCUGAACCAUUUUUGACUUUAUCUUUUCAUGUGCCUUUCAAUCCCUUUCAUUUUAAAAACUCAUUGAAUUUCAUACCUUUAAUAUCUCACAAUAGGUUUUCUGUCAACAGACUUGCCUUCCUUUUUUUAAAAGCAUGAACCUAUGGCAAUUAUGUAAACUAAACCAAAAGUUAUGCUAAAAAGAACAGGAUUGGAGAUUUAGUUCUGAAAUGCUGGCUGUCCUCUUGGGACAACUGUUAAGUUGGUUUGCAACAUGUGCAAAGAACCACACACAAAUUCCUGCAUUACUGAAUUGCGUUGCAUGCCAACUCCAGAUUGAACCAGUCGAUGGAGAAUCAGUUAAAGAAAAAUGGAAUAAUAUACUCAGUUAAAAGGCCAACAUGUCAUAAAUAUAGAGCUAAAUUCACAAUCUAGUAUCUCCCAGUUACACAACUUUGACCUCCUUAGAAUGAGUAAGUCUUGGGAAAGUUAACAGCAAAUGAUCUGGCUGUGUUACUAAUGGCCUGGGAAGAACCAGUUUCAAGAAAGGGCUUUCCUCCAUCCUUCAAACUAUAGGAGAAUAAUAAAAAUACCUGUGCCUUAAAAUGCUUAGUACUCAGGACAGGGUAAGGAACUUGGAUAAUAAUUUCUUACCUCAUAUUCAUUACAAGUAAUCAUUAGCUGUGCUUUACAUAGGAGUCUGAGGACCCCAACCCUAUUAAUAUAUGACACGGAAGCAAAUCUCAUUUGAGUUCCAUGAAACUAGCUUCUGUGCCAGUGUGCUUAGGAUUCUUAACGUCACAGGAAAUGCUCACAGAAAUUUACGCUGAGGUGCUAACUAGAUGCUAUUUAUCAUUAGAAAUGAUCCCACUUUGCAUGCCACCCCUGCAAUUUGGGAGGGAUAAGAAAAUCUGAGAGCCAAACGCUGGGCUGUGGACUUGGGCAAUUGCGGUUCUAGUCCCCACUUGGCUGUGAAGUUCACAGGAUGACUCUGAGCCUGUCACAGACUCUCAGCCCAUAAGCCACUUUGGGUUCCUCACAAAAAAGGCAGGAUAUUAAUGUAGUAGUGGUGGUGGUGGUGGUGGUGCUUGACUUCUCCUCCUCCCAUCAAUAAAUUACUCUAAUGUAGCAGAAUUCAUAUAUGGAAUAACUGAGAACAAUGUGAAUCCUGCAAGGUCAUGAGUACUGAUAAAAGAAGCAUUCUUUCAGGCAAGAUUCCCAGAACAAAAAACCAGACACCAUUCAUGUUUAUUACAGAAGGAAGAUGGGGGUAUAUAUUUUGUGUCAGAAAAACUGCAUGCAGGAAAGUGUAUAUUCAAUUGGCAAAGGAAUCCAUGAUGUAUGUGCACUGGUGCUGGUUUUUCCCUUCAGAUGCAGUUGGGAAGCUCCCGUGGAUGCAAGUCUUUAGAUGGUAUUCAAAAAGCUUAGAAAUCACAAGUAGUAAAAAGUGAUUGUUUCUUCCCUUACUUAUAUCGUUUAAAAAUACAGUAAAAUUAAUCUCUUGAAACUAAAAAUUCAUGUCUUAAAUGGAUACUCAGGGAUGGUUAAAGAAUCUUUGCUUUAAAUAUGGUAAAAUUCCCCACUGUUCAAGUAAAGACCUACAAACCACAGCAGCAAUUUCUCUGUGCUCUCAAAAUUAUUUUUUUCUAAAAACACAGAAUAAGCUCUUUCAUCUUGACUAGUUUAUCUUUGUGCUACAUGCAGAAAUGCAGGCAACAGCAACUGGCAUGACAUUUUUAGAGUAACCACAGAGGAGAAAGCUUGCCAACUGCCACAGGUCAGUCUCUGCUAAAGAAAAUGUUGAUUUAAUUUACCACACUACUACUACAUAAUUCAAGCACUUGAUAAGAUACUUGCUGGUUGGUUUCACAUCUGCUGGAAUAAAAAAUAAAACUGCCAUAUAUUAAUGCCUUUAUACACAUUCAUGGUGCAACCACAUUUGGAAUACUGUGUACCAUUCUGGUAAUCAUUACGCAAAAUAGUAUAUUGUAGAACUGUAGAAGUGCAAAGAAGGGCUACCAGAACAAUGCAGGGAAUGGAGCAACUCCCCUGUGAAGAACAGUUUGCUGCUUUGUAGUUCAUAAAAAGGUGAAUAAUGGAAGAACAUGACAGAGGUGUAUAAAAUUAUGCAUGGUGUGAAGAAAGCUAGGUAGCUUCUCUCCCCCUUAUAUAACACUAGAGCGCAGGGCCAUCCCGUGAAGCUGAAAGGUAGCAUAUUAGUGGGCCAAUGCAGACUGUGGAAUCCGUUACUGCAGGAUGUAGUGAUGGCUACACUUUGGGUGGCACUAAAAGGGCAUUAGUCAAGUUCAUAGAGGAUAAGGCUAUCCAUGCAUACGAGUCAUGACGGCUACAUAUUACUUCCAAAAUCAGAGGCGGCACAGCUCUCGAAACCAGCUGCUGGGGCAUAUAAGCAGGAGAAUGCUAUUACACUCAUGUUCUGCUUGUGGGUUUAGCACAGCAUCCUGUGACAACUAUGGGAACAAAAUGCUAGGCUAGACUGGCCUUUGAGUAAGUUCCAUGAUGAAUCAGAGCAAUUAUUUAAUUAAUUUCUAAACCACCCUGGAGCUGAAGCUCUCUAGACAGUUGACACAGUCUUUUAUGUUCUUAAGCCAACACAUAUCACCCUGAACAUUCUGUUUCUCAUUUAUCUACCUACUGAUUAAGCAUACCUGUCUAGAAUGUAUAGCCUUAGCAAAAGUUAAAAGAAGCUUAAACCAAAACAUCAAUAAAGCAUUGCUAGUUUUUAAACUGUGAUGUUCAGAAUGUGGACACAUCUCUAGAAGACCUUUUAGUAGAAUUUUCUCAUUUUGUAUCGAUAAAUUGUGGCUAUUUAGCAAAGAAUACUUCAACUAGUUGUGUAUGUUUUUUCAGUCAGAUGCUGGAAAUUAAAUUUGGAUUUCUACUUGGCAAAAUUGUUCUCAAAAGUUAUUGCACAUAUACCAUCCCAAAUGUGAAAAGGUUGUUUUGAAUAAUUAGCAGAUUGCAAUAAAAUUGCUAUUCUGAUGAAUUAGCUCAACAGUGUGACAUUCAAUUGGUAAUGCACUCUUACACUUGUCUUUUCAGAAGUUGGUCCCACUGAAAUCAACGGGGCUUUCUCCCAGACAUUCCCUGACCAUGAUCUGAUACUGGAGCUUGCUGAAUUCCACAACAAUCUCGUCUUCAUUGUCUGAGCCUGAAUUCCCAUCAAAGCUACAGACUGCUUGUGCACAUUCUGGCACCUUGCCCUGAUGCCUGUGCCCAACACCUAGCAGAUGUGGCUUCGUACUUACAUGCCCACAUGCCCGGCAAUGAUGCCUCCUCCUUGUCAGUGCAUUGAAGGACUCCUUGCAUUUCAUGCACAUGGUGACUUCAUUGUCUCGAAUCCAUCUUGGUGCUCUCUUCCCAAGUUCAGCAGUCUGAAGAGGAAAGAAGAACAAAAUGUGAAGCAUUGUUAGCACAGAGAAUGACUACUUCUGUGCUUUGGAAAGGGAGCAGCACAGUAGAUGUUAUUCUGAUAUCUAAAUGGCUUGUUUAGACUUUAAACUUCUGAAUGUCACAGAAAACGACAGCUGAAUGUCUAGCACUUCAGUGUGACCAUGUCCUGAUUCCAAUGGUCAGUACUUCCCCCUCUCUGCUGCUAGUAACCAGUGAAAGCUGAGGAAAGUAACAGAUUUUAAUGCCCAGACAUUACAAAAGGUGUCUGUGGGGAAGGAGGUCAAGAGAAAUGAACUAAGAAUUUAAUGAUACCCAUGCAUCAUGCUUGGAUCACAGCUGCAGUAGAAUCCAAGCCAGAAAAGCAGUGCAUUGUUCACUUCUUCAAAAGAAGUGAUCAAUUAGAAUCAUUACAGAUCUCAUUGUGUUAAAGGGAACAUAAUAAACCAUGAAAGAAAUUGUUUUAUAUUACAGUAAUUAAUCUAAAACUGUUUUCAGCCACAAGAAAUGUAUCACUAUUGUUAAUGAACAAAGAAAAGGCUAUGACUGUGCUUAUAUCCUUCCACUCUUAUCAAACCACCAUUCAGCUUUUUGCAUUUCCCUAUAUGCUUGCUCAUUUUCCCUAGAAAUAUGCACUGUUUGAAUUAAGUUUUGAAAAGAGCAGUAACAAUGCUAAAUUGAAAAAGAAAUGUAGCUUGACAGGUAGACAUUUUUAAUAGAAAUGAAGAAAAGUGUCAUAAUGGUGGAGGGAAAAGACAAACAAUGAAGGCACAAUGAACGUCCCAUUUGCCUGCCUUCUUAG